UACGUAGGGUGCGAGCGUUGUCCGGAAUUACUGGGCGUAAAGAGCUCGUAGGUGGUUUGUCGCGUUGUUCGUGAAAACUCACAGCUCAACUGUGGGCGUGCGGGCGAUACGGGCAGACUAGAGUACUGCAGGGGAGACUGGAAUUCCUGGUGUAGCGGUGGAAUGCGCAGAUAUCAGGAGGAACACCGGUGGCGAAGGCGGGUCUCUGGGCAUUACCUGACGCUGAGGAGCGAAAGUGUGGGGAGCGAACAGG
rnacentral:rRNA from 1 species